rnacentral:rRNA from 1 species
UACGUAGGGGGCAAGCGUUGUCCGGAUUUAUUGGGCGUAAAGAGCGUGUAGGCGGUUUGGUAGGUCCGCUGUGAAAACUCGAGGCUCAACCUCGAGACGCCGGUGGAAACCAUCAGACUAGAGUCCGGAAGAGGAGAGUGGAAUUCCUGGUGUAGCGGUGAAAUGCGCAGAUAUCAGGAGGAACACCGAUUGCGAAGGCAGCUCGCUGGGACGUUACUGACGCUGAGACGCGAAAGCGUGGGGAGCAAACAGG